AGAAAACUGCAAGAUCUUUUCCCAGACAUGGACAAGCAAACGAACACAGCAGAUAUGUUAGAUUUGGCAGUUGAGUACAUUAAAGACCUUCAAAAACAGGUUAAGACCCUCACAGAUACUAGAGCAAAGUGCACAUGUUCAAGUAAACAGAAACAGUAUUCGAAUGUGUCUGCUUGAUUUGUUUCUGUAUGCAUAUGCAGCUGGGAAAAUGUGAAGGAUUGAGAAGAAUAACCAGCUACUUAAUUUUUAAUGUACUCUAGAAGAAUAGGAGAUUGUGAUGUUACCUUUUUUGCAAGCUAGUACUCUUAAUGAUGAAUCUCUUUUGGAAAGAAAAAUGAAAUCAGAUCCUUCUGCACUGCAGGAUUCAAGAAGAUGAGUUGCUUAGCACAUACUAUGUUGUAAUUUCUUGAAUGUAAACGUAGUUGUGUUUUGUGCCCUUCAAUUUUUUUAUUUUUUUUUAUUUUUUAUUUUUCACAUCAAAAUAAAGAAAUACCGAUUGGAUUAGAAGUUCAUAAGAAAUUUCCAUAUAUAAAUAUAGGUUCGUUCUCUGUAGAUUUUAACCAGCCAACCCAACUACCUCUACUUCCUUCUUCUCUCUUGUUCAUCUUUGACUCUUCUACUUCACUUCAACACCCAUGUCUUCCAUACUGGGCUUAACCUCUCAAGGUGUUGUCUUUGCCACUGCCAUGGUAGUUUCCAGCACUGUUCUUUUUCUUGCUUUCUCUAAGCAAAAAAACUUCCCUGAACUCUUUAAGAAUCAUGAUUCUCAGUCGCCAAUUCAAAAUCUACGUUCUUGCUUGCGUUCUUCAGGUACGUACCUGCCCAAUUUUCCUCCUCUUUCUUUCUUGGUUAAUUCUUUCUGUUUGACAGAGAUGUGUUAAUUGUUCUUGUUUCUUGUGUGCAGAAGAGGGAAAGAAAAGGGACAAGAAGAAGAAGAAGAAGAAAGGAGACGAGAUGGAGACCCAAGAGCAGCAAGCUAAGUCAAGAGUGGUGAAGGUGGAUUCGGUGGAGUCUUGGGAUUUCUAUGUUACCCAAGCCAAUAAUCAAGGCUGCCCUGUAAGUUAUUUUUCUGUGUUUCUACAAUUUUCGUACUGGGAAUCUUGUGUUAGCCCCUUCUUCCCAUCUUUUAUUUUUAGAAAGAAUUAAAUUUCAAUCACCCAAAAAAUUCGGGGCAUUGAAUAUUGAUAGCCAUCUCAACCUGGAAGUUGUCUGUAAUGCAACAUAAUUGACUCUUGCUAUAUGGUUCCUAUUUAAAAUCUUCUUUAAUUUAGCCUAAAGCCUCAGACCACCGCCUUUGAUUCCAUGAAGUGGCAAUCUAAUAUGUGUCUUCCAUAAUCCAUACACAUUAAUUGAUUACCAAUCAAAAGGUUUGUUUGAUUUUGGAGAUGAGUUGGAGGAUUUGUAAUAAAGAAAUCUCUUUUGGCAAAUCAUUUGGUUCAUUGAUGUUCAUUUUUUAGUUUGACUUGUUGUAGAUUGUUGUACACUUUACUGCUUCAUGGUGUAUCCCCUCUGUGGCCAUGAACCCUUUUUUCGAGGAAUUAGCCUCGGCUUAUCCAGAUGUCCUGUUUCUAGCUGUUGAUGUCGAUGAAGUCAAGGUAAUAUAUUAAUUUUUCAGUGAACACCUGUCUGUAUACUUAAAUUUCUUGUUUCUGCAUUCUGACAAGCUACGGAAUAAUUGAUAUAUUGAUGGAAUACAACAGAAACAGCAGUAUUAGAAUCCUUGACUUCAAUAUCGAAUGCAUUAGAGGUUGAAUCUUGUGAUAUUGUUUGUUUUCAACUUCUUGUGGUGGAUAUUUCUAAGAAAUAUCUUUACAAGGGUAUGAAUUAGCUUGUCCUUCAUGUAUUUGCCAACUAGAUUACCUUUUAUGAGGUCAGGGAUGUAUUGUAUAUGUAUUUAGGUUGUUAAGUCAUAUAGAAGCUCAUCAAUGGAUUAUGAUUUAUAACACCAGGAAUAUUAUACUAGGUAAUUUUUUAUCAAUUUUCAUAUGAUUCUGGGUAUUAGUAUUUAAUAUCAUGUACUCUGUUUGUAUGUUUUAGUCUUUUGAUGUGUAGAAAUUUCAAUUAAUGACACACUGGGCUUCAGGUCCAUUGGGAAAAGAUGCUCUGGUGUUUGAUAAGGUUCAAACUAACUGUUAUUUUCUUCUUACAAAAUCACAGAUAUUGAUUAAUGUAUUGCAUUAUAUUAAGCUUACUGUUGGAGUUGAUGAGAUUUAGUAUAUACAAGUAAAGAAAAAGUCAUAUCCAAGCAUGGUGCAAGUAUGGGCUAUGUUAACUAAAGAAAGCAUUCUUUCCAUAUAAAGGAAGAGAGUGCUGCUGCUGGAAAGAGUGAGAGCUGCUGCUGGAAAUAGAGAGUGCAGAGAGAAUUUGAGAGGCCUGGAAUGAGAGUUUGAGAGAUCUAACAAAAUGAGGAAGAAAAGAAAGAA
rnacentral:misc_RNA from 1 species